GACGAACGCUGGCGGCGUGCUUAACACAUGCAAGUCGAACGGAAAGGCCCUGCUUUUGUGGGGUGCUCGAGUGGCGAACGGGUGAGUAACACGUGAGUAACCUGCCCUUGACUUUGGGAUAACUUCAGGAAACUGGGGCUAAUACCGGAUAGGAGCUCCUGCUGCAUGGUGGGGGUUGGAAAGUUUCGGCGGUUUGGGAUGGACUCGCGGCUUAUCAGCUUGUUGGUGGGGUAGUGGCUUACCAAGGCUUUGACGGGUAGCCGGCCUGAGAGGGUGACCGGCCACAUUGGGACUGAGAUACGGCCCAGACUCCUACGGGAGGCAGCAGUGGGGAAUAUUGCACAAUGGGCGGAAGCUGAUGCAGCAACGCCGCGUGCGGGAUGACGGCCUUCGGGUUGUAAACCGCUUUCGCCUGUGACGAAGCGUGAGUGACGGUAAUGGGUAAAGAAGCACCGGCUAACUACGUG
rnacentral:rRNA from 1 species